CUUGCUUGUUACUCAAGGGGCAGAGAGGCAGUAGACUCCAGCUGGUUAAAGUCACUUCCCUGACCACAGACUUUGACCCCUCCCCAAAAUGCUAAUUCCUAGUGCCAACCCAAAAAAGGUUGCUCAGCUCCUCUUCCCUGUCCCUACCCCUGCUCUUUGACAAAUGUAGAUAUUGCAGCUCUUUUUCUUUUUUUUUAAUCAAUUCAUUCAACAGUCUCUCUUCUCUUGUUGUUAUGUACCUAUCAAAACAUAUACAACCCAGAAACACCUCAGAGUACCUUAUUUAUUUCUCUUUUACUAACAGGCUGAUGUUCCUAAACAAUGGCUGAAGAACAAACCGAGGCUCCAGGCUCGGUUUAGUGCUGAGUUUUGCUGUAUGGACCCCGGGAUGUUUCUGAGCUGGUUUCUUUGAGAAAUGAGGGAAGUCCCAGGGAGGGCUCUGCUGUGAGCAGUUCUGCUGGCUCCUUCCCCUGCAGCCACAGCCAGGCAGCCAAAGGAUCAGCCGCCAAAAACCCACUUGGGCAAGAUUCAAACAAACAUCCAGGCCAGCAGCUUCAAGUGCUCUCAUUCACAAGCGAUCAGUCAGAAAUCUCUGCUGAUUUUGGUGGCACUGACAUCAAAGGUACAGCAUUUUUCACUGCAUGACCACACUGACGUCACCACUGUAAAGCCUGAUGGAGGAUGGAAUGAGCAGAUCCUGCCAGUUUUCUCUGCCUGGAUUUGGCAGCACGCAGAGGUUUUGUGAUGUGCUCUACUGGAGGUUGUUUUUGGCACCUCCCCUGCAGUGUCAGUGCCAGUGUGCAGCAGAAGAGCAUCUCAUCUCUGAGCCAUGCUGGAAUAGGAGGUGGGAGUCAGCACUUUUCUUCCAGCAGAUGCCACCCAACCUUGACCUCCACCAUCCAGAUGUGCAGGAGCUUUGGAAACUCAAGAGACAGAUGAGCACACAUGGAAGAGCGAUGCUCAGGUGCAGAGCGAGCAGGAGUGUGCAUUGCCACUGA
rnacentral:lncRNA from 1 species